rnacentral:lncRNA from 1 species
GCAGACUCUCAGGUCAGAUGGUGAGGGCUGAUUGCGGGAGGUGGACAAGAAGUCUGGCCUAAUGACUAAGGACAGCUAACGCCUAACUCCGUUCCUCAUCACUCCACCUGGGUAAGAGCAUUUGGUGCAACGAGCCAGUUUCGAGCCUGUGAAGGACCGUGGGGCAAGGUGUGUAACCAGGAGCGGUUAGUCCCUGGCUCUGAGUGAGGCCCCGGGCAUAGACAGGAGGUUCUUCCUGUGAAACCAGAGAUUUAAUCCUCCCACUUCACCUUAGGCAUUACGAGAAAUAGGGAAGGCGGGGGAGGCUAGGCGGCCAUUUUUCCUUACAGUGCAAAAUACACACACAGCAGUUCCGCCCGCGUCUGCCCCUAGCCCUCCGAAAUAAGAAGUCUCAAGCCCGGUAGGGCAAAAGAAGAAACGCACAUACUCAGAAUCCCCUGAGCCUCCGACAUUAUCUCACAUCUGUCUGUCGGUGAUUCGGAGGCGCGGGUGGUUUACGGUACAGGCGCCAGGUCCACGUAAUCAGGGCACCCGACAGUGGGAAAUAGAGACUAGACUCAGACCUACACCUGGGAAUGGCGGACAACAAAAUAUCUGUAAAAUAUUUUGAUAUUAGGUACUUUCUAGGCACGCGGUCGUGACUGCGGCCUGCAUGCCUGAGGAAGACAUUGCUCACAAAUACCGGGAUUUGGCCUAAGAAGCGUCCAUCUCUUUAUACAGGUGACCGAUGCCGCUACCUCUUUGUCAUUCAGUAGCCCUCUUUACCUGUUUUGGCCUCGCUGCUAGGGCUGUCGCCGAGCUUACACGGACUCCAGGUGAUGAGUUUUUCUUGAGUCACUGCAAAGGCAGUUUCACUAGGCUUCACUUUUCUUUCUCGCGGUUUUCGGCCAGGUCUCUCCUGAGACACUCCUAUCUCC